UCUGAGGUCCGGCGUAGCCGGGAUCUCAGA
rfam:Oesophagostomum dentatum strain OD-Hann O_dentatum-1.0_Cont3666.3, whole genome shotgun sequence.